UUUGAUCCUGGCUCAGGAUGAACGCUGGCGGCGUGCCUAAUACAUGCAAGUCGAACGCUUUGUGGUUCAACUGAUUUGAAGAGCUUGCUCAGAUAUGACGAUGGACAUUGCAAAGAGUGGCGAACGGGUGAGUAACACGUGGGAAACCUACCUCUUAGCAGGGGAUAACAUUUGGAAACAGAUGCUAAUACCGUAUAACAAUGACAACCGCAUGGUUGUUAUUUAAAAGAUGGUUCUGCUAUCACUAAGAGAUGGUCCCGCGGUGCAUUAGCUAGUUGGUAAGGUAAUGGCUUACCAAGGCGAUGAUGCAUAGCCGAGUUGAGAGACUGAUCGGCCACAAUGGGACUGAGACACGGCCCAUACUCCUACGGGAGGCAGCAGUAGGGAAUCUUCCACAAUGGGCGAAAGCCUGAUGGAGCAACGCCGCGUGUGUGAUGAAGGGUUUCGGCUCGUAAAACACUGUUGUAAGAGAAGAAUGACAUUGAGAGUAACUGUUCAAUGUGUGACGGUAUCUUACCAGAAAGGAACGGCUAAAUACGUGCCAGCAGCCGCGGUAAUACGUAUGUUCCAAGCGUUAUCCGGAUUUAUUGGGCGUAAAGCGAGCGCAGACGGUUAUUUAAGUCUGAAGUGAAAGCCCUCAGCUCAACUGAGGAAUUGCUUUGGAAACUGGAUGACUUGAGUGCAGUAGAGGAAAGUGGAACUCCAUGUGUAGCGGUGAAAUGCGUAGAUAUAUGGAAGAACACCAGUGGCGAAGGCGGCUUUCUGGACUGUAACUGACGUUGAGGCUCGAAAGUGUGGGUAGCAAACAGGAUUAGAUACCCUGGUAGUCCACACCGUAAACGAUGAGUGCUAGGUGUUUGAGGGUUUCCGCCCUUAAGUGCCGCAGCUAACGCAUUAAGCACUCCGCCUGGGGAGUACGACCGCAAGGUUGAAACUCAAAGGAAUUGACGGGGACCCGCACAAGCGGUGGAGCAUGUGGUUUAAUUCGAAGCAACGCGAAGAACCUUACCAGGUCUUGACAUCCCUUGACAACUCCAGAGAUGGAGYGUUCCCUUCGGGGACAAGGUGACAGGUGGUGCAUGGUUGUCGUCAGCUCGUGUCGUGAGAUGUUGGGUUAAGUCCCGCAACGAGCGCAACCCUUAUUACUAGUUGCCAGCAUUCAGUUGGGCACUCUAGUGAGACUGCCGGUGACAAACCGGAGGAAGGUGGGGAUGACGUCAAAUCAUCAUGCCCCUUAUGACCUGGGCUACACACGUGCUACAAUGGCGUAUACAACGAGUUGCCAACCCGCGAGGGUGAGCUAAUCUCUUAAAGUACGUCUCAGUUCGGAUUGUAGGCUGCAACUCGCCUACAUGAAGUCGGAAUCGCUAGUAAUCGCGGAUCAGCACGCCGCGGUGAAUACGUUCCCGGGUCUUGUACACACCGCCCGUCACACCAUGAGAGUUUGUAACACCCAAAGCCGGUGGGGUAACCUUCGGGAGCCAGCCGUCUAAGGUGGGACAGAUGAUUAGGGUGAAGUCGUAACAAGGUAACA
rnacentral:rRNA from 1 species